GUGAAUCAGUUUAAUUUGAUUUUUAUUUAAUUAUUAUUUUGAAAUUAAAAAAAAUAUAUUUUAGUUUAAUUAUUAUUCUUAGAAAAAAUUUUUAUAAUUAUAGUUUAUUAGUAUAGUGAUAGAAUUUAGUUAAAAAUUGAUUAAGAAAAAUUUAUUUUUUGUACCUUGUGUGUCAGGGUUUAUUAAUUAAAAAUUAAUUAUAUUAAAUUUCUCGAUUUUAAAAGAGUGAAUUAUUUAUAUAUUUUAUUGUAAAAUAAAUAUUUAGAAUAAAUAAUUGGUAAUGAAACGUUAUUCGUUUUUAAAUAUAUCUAGUUUUUAAAGAAAAAAAUUUAAUUUUAUUUAAAGUUUAAAUUUUAAUUUUAUAAAAAAUAAAAAUUUACUUUAAAUUAUAUUAUUUGGGAUAAGCUAGAUAAUAAAGUUUUAUAAAUUAAUAUGAAAUAAUUUAAAUUGUAGAAUUAGAAAUUUUCAUCUUUUAAUUUGUUAUAAUUAAUUAAAAAUUAAUAAAAAUUUAUAUUAAUUUUAAGUUUUUUAUUUAAAUAUUAAAUUUAAUUAAAUAAUUUAAGUAAUUAUGAUAAAAUUAGUAUAAAUUUAUGUAAUUGAUUAUUUAAUUUUUAUGUUAAAAAAAGGAAUUCGGCAAAUUUAUUUUUCGCCUGUUUAUUAAAAACAUGUCUUUUUGAUUAUGAUUUAAAGUCUAACCUGCCCAAUGAGGAGUUUAAUGGCCGCAGUAUUUUGACUGUGCAAAGGUAGCAUAAUCAUUAGUUUCUUAAUUAGGAACUGGAAUGAAGGGUUGGACGAGAAAAUAACUGUCUCUUUUUAAAUUAUUUAGAAUUUUAUUUUUAAGUUAAAAAGCUUAAAUCUUUUUAAAAGACGAGAAGACCCUAUAGAGUUUUAUAUAUUUUAUUUUAAUAAUUUUAGUUGAAUUUUUAAAAUUUUAACAUUAACUAUAUUUAAUUGGGGUGAUUAAAAAAUUUAAUAAACUUUUUUUUUAUUAUUACAUUAAUUUAUGAUUUAUUGAUCCAUAUGUUAUGAUUAAAAGAUUAAAUUACCUUAGGGAUAACAGCGUAAUUUCUUUUUAGAGUUCUAAUCGAUAAAGAAGUUUGCGACCUCGAUGUUGGAUUAAAAUUGAUUUUUGGUGUAGCAGCUAAAAUAUUAGGUCUGUUCGACCUUUAAAAUUUUACAUGAUCUGAGUUUAAACCGGUGUAAGCCAGGUUGGUUUCUAUCUUUAAACUUAUAAAAUAUUUUAGUACGAAAGGACCAAAUAUUUGUAAUAUUUAUUUAAUAAAGAAUUUUAUUAAUAGUUAAUUAUUUUGGCAGAUUAGUGCAUUAAAUUUAGAAUUUAAUUAUGUAAUUAUAUUACAAA
rnacentral:rRNA from 1 species